UACGAAGGGGGCUAGCGUUGUUCGGAAUCACUGGGCGUAAAGCGCACGUAGGCGGAUCUUUAAGUCAGGGGUGAAAUCCCGAGGCUCAACCUCGGAACUGCCUUUGAUACUGGGGAUCUCGAGUCCGGGAGAGGUGAGUGGAACUGCGAGUGUAGAGGUGAAAUUCGUAGAUAUUCGCAAGAACACCGGUGGCGAAGGCGGCUACUCUGGACCGACACUGACGCUGAGGCGCGAAAGCGCGGGGAGCAAACAGG
rnacentral:rRNA from 1 species